rnacentral:rRNA from 1 species
GACGAACGCUGGCGGCGUGCCUAAUACAUGCAAGUCGAGCGGACUUUCAAGAAGCUUGCUUUUUGAAAGUUAGCGGCGGACGGGUGAGUAACACGUGGGCAACCUGCCUGCAAGACGGGGAUAACUUCGGGAAACCGGGGCUAAUACCGGAUAAUAUCUUCCUUCGCAUGAAUGAAGGUUGAAAGGCGGCGCAAGCUGCCGCUUGCAGAUGGUCCCGCGGCGCAUUGGCUAGUUGGUGAGUUAACGGCUCACCAAGGCGACGAUGCGUAGCCGACCUGGGGGGGUGAUCGGCCACAAUGGGACUGAGACACGGUCCAGACUCCUACGGGAGGCAGCAGUAGGGAAUCUUCCGAAAUGGGCGAAAGCCUGACGGAGCAACGCCGCGUGAGUGAUGAAGGUCUUCGGAUCGUAAAACUCUGUUGUUAGGGAAGAACAAAUAUCGUAGGAACUGUGCGCGUCUUGGCGGGACCUUAUCAGAAAAGCACGGCUAACUACGGG